UUCAGUUCUGCAACUUUAUUUCCAAGUUAGUUCUUGUCCACAUUCACUGUCUGGAGAUUUCUGAACGUGGUAACAGGGACGUAGGUCACUAAGGUGUAAAG